rnacentral:tRNA from 1 species
AAAAAGAUAAGCUAAUUAAGCUAGAAGGUUCAUGCCCCUCUCAUAAAGGCUCUAAUCCUUUUCUUUUUA